rnacentral:tRNA from 1 species
GCGCCGCUCGCGCGGAUCGAGCGCGUCGUGUUGCGGCCACGGCAUGCGGCGCCGCAGGCUCUGUCGUUCGCGAUCCACGUCGCCGCC